GGGCCCGCACAAGCAGUGGAGCGUGUGGUUUAAUUCGACGCAACGCGCAGAACCUUACCAGGGCUUGACAUCGUGGUGACAGCCGAAGAAACUCGGUCUUCCGUAGCAAUACGGACGCCAUGACAGGUGUUGCAUGGUUGUCGUCAGCUCGUGUCGUGAGAUGUUGGGUUAAGUCCCGCAACGAGCGCAACCCCUAUUCAGUGUUGCAAACAGGUAAAGCUGUGCACUCACUGGAGACUGCCGGAGACGAUCCGGAGGAAGGUGGGGAUGACGUCAAAUCAUCAUGGCCCUUAUGCCCUGGGCCACACACGCGCUACAAUGGCCGGUACAACGGGCAGCAAUAGAGCGAUCUGGAGCGAAUCCCUUAAAGCCGGUCUCAGUUGGAAUCGGGGGCUGAAACUCGUCCCCGUGAACAUGGAAUUGCUAGUAAUCGCGGAUCAGCCACGCCGCGGUGAAUACGUUCCCGGGCCUU
rnacentral:rRNA from 1 species